rnacentral:rRNA from 1 species
UACGGGGGGGGCAAGCGUUGUUCGGAAUUACUGGGCGUAAAGGGCUCGUAGGCGGCCAACUAAGUCAUACGUGAAAUCCCUCAGCUUAACUGGGGAACUGCGUGUGAUACUGGAUGGCUUGGAUUUGGGAGAGGGAUGCGGAAUUCCAGGUGUAGCGGUGAAAUGCGUAGAUAUCUGGAGGAACACCGGUGGCGAAGGCGGCAUCCUGGACCAAUAUUGACGCUGAGGCGCGAAAGCGUGGGGAGCGAACAGG